GCAGGAAGCUGGAGGCCUUACAUGAAGAAAAGAGCGUUGUUUGGUAGCCAAGGAUGACUUGCCCGCCUCCGAUUUCAUGAAAGAAUAUAUGGCAUUAUUUAAUUGUCUGUCUAAAAUUUAUAUUCAUGUUUGGAAUCCAGGCAGUCUCCUUGGCUAAUCUCACAGGCUCUUUUCUUUCAUGCUAGGCCCUCCUCUUCUUC